UGAACGCUGGCGGCGUGCCUAAUACAUGCAAGUCGAACGGACUGUAGCAAUACAGUUAGUGGCGAACGGGUGAGUAACACGUAGGUAACCUGCCCUCAAGACUGGGAUACCCAGACGAAAGUUGGCUAAUACCGGAUAACAACUCUGGAGGCAUCUCCGGAGUUUGAAAGGCGCCUUUAAAGCGCCACUUAAGGAUGGACCUGCGGUGCAUUAGCUAGUUGGUGAGAUAACAGCCCACCAAGGCGAGGAUGCAUAGCCGAUCUGAGAGGAUGACCGGCCACAAUGGGACUGAGACACGGCCCAUACUCCUACGGGAGGCAGCAGUAGGGAGUUUUCGGCAAUGGGCGAAAGCCUGACCGAGCAACGCCGCGUGAGUGAUGAAGGUUCCUUCGGAUCGUAAAGCUCUGUUACGAGGGAUGAACGAUAGCUUCAGGAAAUGGUCGCUAUUUGACAGUACCUCGCCAGAAAGUGACGGCUAACUACGUGCCAGCCGCCGC
rnacentral:rRNA from 1 species